rnacentral:rRNA from 1 species
AACGAACGUUGGCGGCGUGGAUGAGGCAUGUAAGUCGAUCGUGAAAGCACCUUCGGGUGUGAGUAAAGAGGCAAAAGGGUGAGUAACACGUAAUCAACCUGCCCUCGAGAUGGGGACAACCACUGGAAACGGUGGCUAAUACCCAAUAUUGACCCUGGUCGCAUGGCCGGGAGUCGAAACGGAUGGGAUCCUUCGGGACCUUCUGCUCGAGGAGGGGAUUGCGGACUAUCAGCUUGUUGGUGAGGUAAUGGCUCACCAAGGCUAUGACGGUUAGCCGGUCUGAGAGGAUGUCCGGCCACACUGGGACUGAGAUACUGCCCAG